GACGAACGCUGGCGGCGUGCUUAACACAUGCAAGUCGAACGGAAAGGCCCUGCUUGCAGGGUGCUCGAGUGGCGAACGGGUGAGUAACACGUGGGUGAUCUGCCCCUUACUUUGGGAUAAGCCUGGGAAACUGGGUCUAAUACUGGAUAGGACCAUGCUGUAGGUGGUGUGGUGGAAAGAUUAGUUUCGGUAGGGGAUGAGCUCGCGGCCUAUCAGCUUGUUGGUGGGGUAAUGGCCUACCAAGGCGUCGACGGGUAGCCGGCCUGAGAGGGUGGACGGCCACAUUGGGACUGGGAUACGGCCCAGACUCCUACGGGAGGCAGCAGUGGGGAAUAUUGCACAAUGGGCGCAAGCCUGAUGCAGCGACGCCGCGUGGGGGAUGACGGCCUUCGGGUUGUAAACUCCUUUCAGCCAUGACGAAGCCCUUGUGGUGACGGUAGUGGUAGAAGAAGCACCGGCUAACUACGU
rnacentral:rRNA from 1 species